AUUGAACGCUGGCGGCAUGCUUUACACAUGCAAGUCGAACGGUAACAGGCCGCAAGGUGCUGACGAGUGGCGAACGGGUGAGUAAUGCAUCGGAACGUGCCCAGUCGUGGGGGAUAACUACUCGAAAGAGUAGCUAAUACCGCAUACGAUCUAUGGAUGAAAGCGGGGGACCGUAAGGCCUCGCGCGAUUGGAGCGGCCGAUGUCAGAUUAGGUAGUUGGUGGGGUAAAGGCUCACCAAGCCAACGAUCUGUAGCUGGUCUGAGAGGACGACCAGCCACACUGGGACUGAGACACGGCCCAGACUCCUACGGGAGGCAGCAGUGGGGAAUUUUGGACAAUGGGCGCAAGCCUGUUCCAGCAAUGCCGCGUGCAGGAAGAAGGCCUUCGGGUUGUAAACUGCUUUUGUACGGAACGAAACGGCUCUGGUUAAGACCCGGGGCUAAUGACGGUACCGUAAGAAUAAGCACCGGCUAACUACGU
rnacentral:rRNA from 1 species